UAGGGAAUCUUCCGCAAUGGACGAAAGUCUGACGGAGCAACGCCGCGUGAGUGAAGAAGGAUUUCGGUUCGUAAAACUCUGUUGUUAGGGAAGAAAAAAUGUAUAGUAACUAUAUACAAAAGAGACGGUACCUAACCAGAAAGCCACGGCUAACUACGUGCCAGCAGCCGCGGUAAUACGUAGGUGGCAACCGUUGUCCGGAAUUAUUGGGCGUAAAGCGCGCGCAGGUGGUUUAGACAGUCUGAUGUGCAAGCCCACGGCUCAACCGUGGAGGGUCAUUGGAAACUAAUAAACUUGAGUGCAGGAGAGAAAAGUGGAAUUCCUGGUGUAGCGGUGAAAUGCGUAGAGAUUAGGAGGAACACCGGUGGCGAAAGCGGCUUUUUGGCAUGCAACUGACACUGAGGCGCGAAAGCGUGGGGAGCAAACAGG
rnacentral:rRNA from 1 species